rnacentral:rRNA from 1 species
GCCUUCCAGCUAGUAGUCAUAUGCUUGUCUCAAAGAUUAAGCCAUGCAUGUGCAAGUAUGAACAAAUUCAGACUGUGAAACUACGAAUGGCUCAUUAAAUCAGUUGUAGUUUGUUUGAUGGUACCUGCUACACGAAUAACCGUAGUAAUUCUGGAGCUAAUACGUGCAACAUUCCCCGACUUCCGGAAGUGAUGCAUUUAUUUGAUAAAAGGCCGACGCGGGCUCACCGCGCCGUUUUGAUGAUUCAUGAUAACUCAACGGAUCGCACGGCCCUCGUGCCGGUGACGCAUCAUUCAAAUUUCUGCCCUAUCAACUUUCAAUAGUAGCAUAAGGGCCUACCAUGGUGGUGACAGGUGAAGGAGAAUUAGGGUUCGAUUGCAGAGAAGGAGCCUGAGAAACGGCUACCACAUCCAAGGAAGGCAGCAGGCGCACAAAAUUACCCAAUCCUGACACGGGGAGGUAGUGACAAUAAAUAACAAUACCGGGCCCUUCGGGUCUGGUAAUUGGAAUGAGUACAAUCUAAAUCCCUUAACGAGGAUCCAUUAGAGGGCAAGUCUGGUGCCAGCAGCCGCGGUAAUUCCAGCUCCAAUAGCGUAUAUUUAAGUUGUUGCAGUUAAAACGCUCGCAAUCGGACCUUGGGCCGGGCCGGUCGAUCCACCUCCCGGUGUACACCGGCCAUCCCGUCCCCUCUGCUGGCGAUGUGCUCCUGGCCUUAACUGGCCGGGUCGUGCCUCCGGCACCGUUAAUUUAAAGAAAUUAGAGUGCUCAAAGCAAGCCCACGUUCUGGAUACAUUAGCAUGGGAUAACAUCAUAUGAUUUCGUUCCUAUUGUGUUGGCCUUCGGGAUCGGAGUAAUGAUUAAGAGGGACAGUCGGGGGCAUUCGUAUUUCAUAGUCAGAGGUGAAAUUCUUGUAUUUAUGAAAGAUGAACCACAGGGAAAUCAAAGUCUUUGGGUUCCGGGGGGAGUAUGGUCGCAAGGCUGAAACUUAAAGGAAUUGACGGAAGGGCACCACUAGGAGUGGAGCCUGCGGCUUAAUUUGACUCAAUACUGGGAAACUUACCAGGUCCAGACAUAGCAAGGAUUGACAGACUGAGAGCUCUUUCUUGAUUCUAUGGGUGGUGGUACAUGGUCGUUCUUAGUUGGAGGAGCGAUUUGUCUGGUUAAUUCCUAUAACGAAUGAGACCUCAGCCAGCUAACUAGCUAUGCGGAGGAAUCCCUCCGCGGCCAGCUUCUUAGAGGGACUGUGGCCGUUUAGGCCACGGAAGUUUGAGGCAAUAACAUGUUGUGUGGCGGGGGGGACACGACCCCACAACUGGCGCGGGAAGUGCUAAGGACCUCCCCACCCGAUGCAACAACGGCGCGGAGGAAAAAAACGACACAUGAGUCACACAACUCUCGGCAACGGAUAUCUCGGCUUUCGCAUCGAUAAAGAACGUAGCGAAAUACGAUACUUGGUGUGAAUUGCAGAAUCCCGUGAACCAUCGAGUCUUUGAACGCAAGUUGCGCCCGAGGCCACCCGGCCGAGGGCACGCCUGCCUGGGCGUCAUGAGAACGUGUCGCUCCGGCGCGCACGCUGAUGAAGGUCGUCAACUAAUAACCUCUCACGCAAGCGCGAGAGGGUCGU